GAUGAAGAACGCAGCGAAAUGCGAUACGUAAUGUGAAUUGCAGAAUUCAGUGAAUCAUCGAAUCUUUGAACGCAUAUUGCGCUCUCUGGUAUUCCGGAGAGCAUGCUUGUUUGAGUAUCAGUAAACACCUCAACUCCCUUUUCUUUUUUGAAAUUGGAGCUGGACUUGAGUGAUCCCAACGCUUUCUUCCAAGAAAGUGGCGGGUUGCUUGAAAUGCAGGUGCAGCUGAACUUUUCUCUGAGCUAUAAGCAUAUCUAUUUAGUCUGCCUAAAAAACAGAUUAUUACCUUUGAUGCAGCUAACAUAAAGGAGACUAGUUCUUGUGCUGACUGAUGCAGGAUUCACAGAGACAGCUUCGGCUGACUUUGUAAACUCGAUCUCAAAUCAAGUAAGACUACCCGCUGAACUUAAGCAUAUCAAUAAACGGAGGA
rnacentral:misc_RNA from 1 species